CAGGCCUAACACAUGCAAGUCGAACGAUGCUUUCGGGCAUAGUGGCGCACGGGUGCGUAACGCGUGGGAAUCUGCCCUUGGGUUCGGAAUAACCGUUGGAAACGACGGCUAAUACCGGAUGAAGACGAAAGUCCAAAGAUUUAUCGCCUGAGGAUGAGCCCGCGUGAGAUUAGGUAGUUGGUGGGGUAAAGGCCUACCAAGCCGACGAUCUCUAGCUGGUCUGAGAGGAUGAUCAGCCACACUGGGACUGAGACACGGCCCAGACUCCUACGGGAGGCAGCAGUGGGGAAUAUUGGACAAUGGGCGCAAGCCUGAUCCAGCAAUGCCGCGUGAGUGAUGAAGGCCUUAGGGUUGUAAAGCUCUUUUACCCGGGAUGAUAAUGACAGUACCGGGAGAAUAAGCCCCGGCUAACUCCGUGCCAGCAGCCGCGGUAAU
rnacentral:rRNA from 1 species